GGGUUGUGAGGUUAAGCGACUAAGCGUACACGGUGGAUGCCCUGGCAGUCAGAGGCGAUGAAGGACGUGCUAAUCUGCGAUAAGCGUCGGUAAGGUGAUAUGAACCGUUAUAACCGGCGAUUUCCGAAUGGGGAAACCCAGUGUGUUUCGACACACUAUCAUUAACUGAAUCCAUAGGUUAAUGAGGCGAACCGGGGGAACUGAAACAUCUAAGUACCCCGAGGAAAAGAAAUCAACCGAGAUUCCCCCAGUAGCGGCGAGCGAACGGGGAGCAGCCCAGAGCCUGAAUCAGUAUGUGUGUUAGUGGAAGCGUCUGGAAAGGCGCGCGAUACAGGGUGACAGCCCCGUACACAAAAAUGCACAUGCUGUGAGCUCGAUGAGUAGGGCGGGACACGUGGUAUCCUGUCUGAAUAUGGGGGGACCAUCCUCCAAGGCUAAAUACUCCUGACUGACCGAUAGUGAACCAGUACCGUGAGGGAAAGGCGAAAAGAACCCCGGCGAGGGGAGUGAAAAAGAACCUGAAACCGUGUACGUACAAGCAGUGGGAGCACGCUUAGGCGUGUGACUGCGUACCUUUUGUAUAAUGGGUCAGCGACUUAUAUUCUGUAGCAAGGUUAACCGAAUAGGGGAGCCGAAGGGAAACCGAGUCUUAACUGGGCGUUAAGUUGCAGGGUAUAGACCCGAAACCCGGUGAUCUAGCCAUGGGCAGGUUGAAGGUUGGGUAACACUAACUGGAGGACCGAACCGACUAAUGUUGAAAAAUUAGCGGAUGACUUGUGGCUGGGGGUGAAAGGCCAAUCAAACCGGGAGAUAGCUGGUUCUCCCCGAAAGCUAUUUAGGUAGCGCCUCGUGAAUUCAUCUCCGGGGGUAGAGCACUGUUUCGGCAAGGGGGUCAUCCCGACUUACCAACCCGAUGCAAACUGCGAAUACCGGAGAAUGUUAUCACGGGAGACACACGGCGGGUGCUAACGUCCGUCGUGAAGAGGGAAACAACCCAGACCGCCAGCUAAGGUCCCAAAGUCAUGGUUAAGUGGGAAACGAUGUGGGAAGGCCCAGACAGCCAGGAUGUUGGCUUAGAAGCAGCCAUCAUUUAAAGAAAGCGUAAUAGCUCACUGGUCGAGUCGGCCUGCGCGGAAGAUGUAACGGGGCUAAACCAUGCACCGAAGCUGCGGCAGCGACGCUUAUGCGUUGUUGGGUAGGGGAGCGUUCUGUAAGCCUGCGAAGGUGUGCUGUGAGGCAUGCUGGAGGUAUCAGAAGUGCGAAUGCUGACAUAAGUAACGAUAAAGCGGGUGAAAAGCCCGCUCGCCGGAAGACCAAGGGUUCCUGUCCAACGUUAAUCGGGGCAGGGUGAGUCGACCCCUAAGGCGAGGCCGAAAGGCGUAGUCGAUGGGAAACAGGUUAAUAUUCCUGUACUUGGUGUUACUGCGAAGGGGGGACGGAGAAGGCUAUGUUGGCCGGGCGACGGUUGUCCCGGUUUAAGCGUGUAGGCUGGUUUUCCAGGCAAAUCCGGAAAAUCAAGGCUGAGGCGUGAUGACGAGGCACUACGGUGCUGAAGCAACAAAUGCCCUGCUUCCAGGAAAAGCCUCUAAGCAUCAGGUAACAUCAAAUCGUACCCCAAACCGACACAGGUGGUCAGGUAGAGAAUACCAAGGCGCUUGAGAGAACUCGGGUGAAGGAACUAGGCAAAAUGGUGCCGUAACUUCGGGAGAAGGCACGCUGAUAUGUAGGUGAAGCGACUUGCUCGUGGAGCUGAAAUCAGUCGAAGAUACCAGCUGGCUGCAACUGUUUAUUAAAAACACAGCACUGUGCAAACACGAAAGUGGACGUAUACGGUGUGACGCCUGCCCGGUGCCGGAAGGUUAAUUGAUGGGGUCAGCGCAAGCGAAGCUCUUGAUCGAAGCCCCGGUAAACGGCGGCCGUAACUAUAACGGUCCUAAGGUAGCGAAAUUCCUUGUCGGGUAAGUUCCGACCUGCACGAAUGGCGUAAUGAUGGCCAGGCUGUCUCCACCCGAGACUCAGUGAAAUUGAACUCGCUGUGAAGAUGCAGUGUACCCGCGGCAAGACGGAAAGACCCCGUGAACCUUUACUAUAGCUUGACACUGAACAUUGAGCCUUGAUGUGUAGGAUAGGUGGGAGGCUUUGAAGUGUGGACGCCAGUCUGCAUGGAGCCGACCUUGAAAUACCACCCUUUAAUGUUUGAUGUUCUAACGU
rnacentral:rRNA from 1 species